GAAAGCGUGGGGAGCGAACCGGAUUAGAUACCCGGGUAGUCCACGCUGUAAACGAUGAUUGCUAGGUUUUCGGGGCAUCGACCCCUCGUGAGCCGAAGUUAACGCGUUAAGCAAUCCGCCUGAGUAGUACGGCCGCAAGGCUAAAACUCAAAGGAAUUGACGGGGGACCGCACAAGCAGCGGAGCGUGUGGUUUAAUUCGAUGGUAAGCGAAGAACCUUACCAGGGUUUGACAUGUAAGUAGUACUGAACCGAAAGGGGAUGGACCCGCAAGGGAGCUUACACAGGUGUUGCAUGGUUGUCGUCAGCUCGUGCCGUGAGGUGUUGGGUUAAGUCCCGCAACGAGCGCAACCCUCUUUGUUAGUUGCACUCUCUAACGAUACUGCCCUUAAAAGGGAGGAAGGUGGGGAUGACGUCAAAUCAUCAUGGCUCUUACACCCUGGGCUACACACACGCUACAAUGGCAAGUACAGACGGUCGCCAACCCGCGAGGGGGAGCUAAUCCGAUAAAACUUGUCUCAGUUGGGAUUGCAGGCUGAAAUUCGCCUGCAUGAACGUGGAGUUGCUAGUAAACGCAGGUCAGCACACUGCGUUGAAUACGUUCCCGGUCCUUGUACACACCGCCCGUCACGUCAUGGAAGUUGGUAACACUUGAAGUCGUUGCGCUAACCCUUUGGGAGGCAGACGCCGAGAGUGGGACUGAUGACUGGGACGAAGUCGUAACAAGGUAGCUGUACCGGAAGGUGCGGCUG
rnacentral:rRNA from 1 species